AAGCGUUUUGAAAUGUAAGGAA
rnacentral:piRNA from 1 species